CAGUAGCCGCGGUAAUACGUAGGGUCCGAGCGUUGUCCGGAAUUACUGGGCGUAAAGAGCUCGUAGGUGGUUUGUCGCGUUGUUCGUGAAAACUCACAGCUUAACUGUGGGCGUGCGGGCGAUACGGGCAGACUAGAGUACUGCAGGGGAGACUGGAAUUCCUGGUGUAGCGGUGGAAUGCGCAGAUAUCAGGAGGAACACCGGUGGCGAAGGCGGGUCUCUGGGCAGUAACUGACGCUGAGGAGCGAAAGCGUGGGGAGCGAACAGGAUUAGAUACCCGCGUAGUCCCUGUCUCUUAUAA
rnacentral:rRNA from 1 species